ensembl:lncRNA
UUUUUUUUUUUUUUUUUCAUCUUUUUGCUAUUUCUUUGGGCUGCUCCCACAGCAUAUGGAGGUUCCCAGGCUAGGGGUCGAAUUGGAGCUGUAGCUGCCGGCCUACGCCAGAACCACAGCAACAUGGGAUCCAAGCCGCAUCUGCAACCUAUACCACAGCUCACAGCAACGCCGGAUCGUUAACCCACUGAGCAAGGGCAGGGACCAAACCCGAAACCUCAUGGUUCCUAGUCAGAUUCAUUAACCACUGCGCCAAGACGAGAACUCCUGGAGACUCAUUCUCAAUGGGAGUACAGGAGAGUCCCAGGCCCAGCUGAGCAGACAGACCAGGCUUCCUCCAACUCAACUCCUAGAACCUGGCAGCCUCCCAGCUUCUCCCCUCUCCCCAGGAAAUGUGACCCGUCCAGGAAGAAGGACCUCAAGUUGAUGACUUUGGUAAGGUUCUAUAAGCAAACAGCUCAGCCGCACCACCCACAGUGAGAAAGUCAGCCGAUAAGCGCCCCCAGCACGUGCCCAGAGCUUCCAAUGACCUUUUCAGCCCCAACCUUAACACAGGAGCAGAAUAUGCAAGAAUUACUGAGAAAGACCAAACAAGGAGUUCCCGUCGUGGCUCACUCAGUGGUUAACGAACCCGACUAGCACCAAUGAGGACUCAGGUUUGAUCCCUGGUCUUGCUCAGUGUGUCACAGGAUCUGGUGUGGCCAUGAGCUGUGGCAUAGGUUGCUGACACAGCUUGGAUCCCUCGUUGCUGCGGCUAUGGCGUAGGCUGGUGGCUAUAGCUCCGACUGAUUCCACGACCUAGCCUGGGAACCUCCAUAUGUCUGUAAGGAUCAGCCCUAAAAAGACCCCCCCCCAAAAAAAAAAGUUUGGGGAAAUAAAAAUAUGAUAGCAAAGAAAAAUUCAAUAAAAUCUUUGGAAGAUAAAAUUGAAAAAAUCUUCCAGAAUAUAGAGUAACAAAAGAAAUGAAAACUAGUAAAGAUAAGAAGUUCUAUACAGGGUUCAGAUCCCACUCCUGGCACCAAAAAAUAAAAAUAAAAACAAAAACAAACAAGUCCUAUACAGUAUGUCAAAGACUCAAUACUAGAAAUUCCAGAAAAAGACAACAAACAGAAGAAACUUUUUUUUUUUUUUUUUUUUUUUUUUUUUUUUUUUUUUUUUUUUUUUUNNNNNNNNNNNNNNNNNNNNNNNNNNNNNNNNNNNNNNNNNNNNNNNNNNNNNNNNNNNNNNNNNNNNNNNNNNNNNNAAACAUCAAACCAAAGCCACAUCUGUGACCUGCACCACAGCUCAUGACAAUGCUGGAUCCUUAACCCACUAAGCAAGGCCAAGGAUCGAACCUGAAACCUCAUGGUUCCUAGUCGGAUUCGUUAACCACUGCGCCACAACGGGAACUCCAGAAGAAAUUAUUUUUAAAAGUAAUACAAGGGAAAUUUCCUGAACUGAAGAGAACAAAGUUUUCCAAUUAAAAGGGACUCUAGUGGAGUUCCCAUCAUGGCACGAAUCUGACUAGCAUCUAUGCGGACUCAGGUUUGAUCCCUGGCCUCGCUUGGUGGCUUAAGGAUCAUGUUACCGUGGAGCUGUGGUGUAGGUCACAGGCGCAGCUUGGAUCCCAUGUUGCUGUGGCUGUGGUGUAGGCCAGCAGCUGUAGCUCCAGUUUGACCCCCACCCUGGGAACCUCCAUAUGCUGCAGGUGUGGCCCUAAAAAGACCGAAAAAAAAAAAAAAUUUUGGAGCUCUCAAAAUAACACUGGAAACUAGAAGCCAGGCUCCAAUAAGUCCCACCCUGGGUGUUCACAACCUCACAUAUGGCUCUCUCCCAGAUGGAAGAGGGCCCAUGGAUGAGACACGGCUGAAACGGCGUGUUGUGUGUGACAGGCCAUACAAGACACCGCUGCGCCCCUGGCUCUCAGAUCACUUUGGGUGAGGACACUCCAUGUCUCUGGAGAGGGCCACGUGGGGAGGUACCGAGGCCUCCUGACAUCUUCCAGUGUCAUUUGCUACUCAUGUGACUGAAUUGUCGCAGAGACUAAGUAAGGCGACCUUGCAGCUCCAGUUAAGGCUUCAGGUGACUGCAGCCCUAGCGACAGCUUUGCUGCGACCUCAGGAAUAACUCUAAACAAACCAGCUUAAUCACUCCCAAAUUUCGGGCUCCCAGAAAAGAUAUGCUUAUUGUUUCAAUGUGCUACAUUUGGGGUUAUUAUUCUUUUUGGUUUUUAGGGUCACACCUGUGGCAUGCAGAGGUUCCCAGGCUAGGGGUUGAAUCAGAGCUGCAGCUGCUGGCCUCUACCACAGCCACAGCCAUGCCAGAUCCUGAAUCCACUGAGCGAGGCCAGGGAUGGAACCUGCAUCCUCAUGGAUCUAGUCAGGUUCGUUACUGCUCAGCCCCAAUGGGAACUCCCAGGCUUAAUUUUAAACAGCCAUAGAUAACUAAUAACGGUGGAAAAGAGCAAACCUCCAAAUGUUGAAAGAUCAUUUCCAACAUUCUUCUAUAGUCACCCAUCAAUUAAGCAUGAAGGUGGAAUAAAGACAUUUCUAUGCACAUCAGAUUUUUAAAAAACUUUCAUCCUUGUCCCUUUUCUCAGAAAACUCCUUUAGGAUAUGCUGCUCCACCAAAACAAGGGAGUAAACCAAGAAACUGGAAGAUAUGGGGUCCGAGAGAUAAGGGUCCUGACAGUUCCGUCUGGGGUGGUCAGGAGGCUAUCAAUGGGUUCUUUAGGAAGAUGAAAAUGAUAGGACACCUGUAGAGUCCAAAAAUCCUUAAAGACAUUUUUUUUCAGUAGUUAUUUUUCCUAAGUGAGUGUUAUUUACAGUAUGGUACAACUCAUAAUGAAGAAAUGCAUGUUAAUACUUCGUAUCACUGAACAUUCCAGCAAAUAUGAUGGUGAAUUAGAAAUUACAAUGAGACUAAGUAAAUUACUUAGACUCUCACAAUAAAAAAAAAUUGAUGAGUGUAUUGACCAGAACCUCAGAAGUGUUGGGUCCAAAGAUCCCGAGUUUUAGCAGGUUGGUAAAAAGUUUGGGGCUAAAUUAGUGAUCAACAUAUUAAAAAUUAAGUAAAUUUUUAAAAAGCCCCCAGGGAGAACAAGCAGCUAUCCCGGAAAUUUUAAAAAGUUAUGAUUUUUAACACCAUAACUCAGCUCAUCUCAGCUGCCACUGGCAUUUGCAAAGUGGAAACUGGUGCAAAUACUGACUGCUGAGCCAACCACGACUGUUCCCUGUGAUGGGGGCAGGGCAGCGAAGAGCCAAAGCCUCAUCUUCCCAGUGGAAAAGCAACAGACUCCAACUAAAACUGACAAGUCAUGAAAGCAGGAAUACAAGCAUAUUAGAGACUUGACAGUAAAUACCAAAAUAAUCAGCUAACAGAGGCACACAGACUGCCUCCAGGGAGAAAAAUGGGGCAGCGGAGGAGGGGGGGGCUGCUCUUUAUCUUCUAACAAUCCACGUGUGAACUAUUUUGAGUCCUGAAACCAGGGGCAGGACACUUGAACACCUGAACUUCACCACUCCAGAAAGGAUUUUUACUUUCUCCCUGCUGCAGGCACAGCCUGUUCAUGACCUGCUGCCGGGCGUCCAGGACCUGUGUCCUGUCCGCCUGCUUCCGCUUCAGUGGCUCUGUCUGUGUCUACAUCACAUCCACCCAGAUGUGGGGUCCAGGGCCUGUCCUCCACCUCCACCCCCUCCAGGUGCGUCCCUGUGCGCAGAUGUUGGGGAAGCAGUGGGGUGUACUGCAGACUCCGACUUUCCAGGCCAGGCAUCCUUGCAGGCACCUCUGCUGCCUGCACCCUCCCCUCUUCCUCUGCAGUCCUAGCCCGAUAAAUGAACCUGACUUCCACCAGCUCAGUGAGCAACGCGGGACACGGGUUAUCUCAUUUCACACCCGGGGUAACUCAGUCAGGAUUGAGUGGCUCAGUCCACGUGACCCAGGCCUGGAGACCCACCUUCACUCCCUGGGUGUCCUCGUAUAGAUGUUCCCAGGGCCUGGUCAGAAGAUGGGCCGUGGGCAGGGCUGCUGAGUGGAGGUCUUGGCCCGCGCCCCUCCUGGGAGCCCCAGGGUGCAGACGCAGACCAAGCAAGGUGGCUCCUGGGAAGCCAGCCUAGCACAGCCCCGGGCAGGUGGAGUGACUAGCACUUCCUUGGGGAUCAUCAAGUUUAGCUUCCUUGGCCUGGAAUUUGCCUUGCAGCCCAGACAAGCCCUGACUCCACCCAGCCUCCUUAGGAACAGCAGGACUCUGGGGCAGAAGGGGAGGCCCGCUGGGGGUCUGACCAGGGAGGAAUAUCGAAAGGUGCUCAGUGCAGUGGCUUGAUGAGGGCAGAGCAGCCAAAGCCCAGAGUGGACAGGUGACUGGCCUGAGGCCACAGGGGAGCUGGCGACAUAGCUGGACCCCUGCUCUCCAUCCUCAUUUUGACCACAGCCCUGGCCCCUGAUAAAUGAGGGCUCCAGGGUGGUGGUGCAGGGUAAGGGCGAGGCUGGAGGGGUUAUCAAACCACCAUUAGGUUGGGGCCACUGCCUUGCCCUGCACGCUCCCUGCCUCCCAGCUUCCCGGGUGAGCACAUCCUCUGGCCAGGUCUCUGCCAAGGGCAGGUGUGGGGUGGGGCUGGUGAUGCUAGCAUUUCCAAGGAGCAGGGACCUUCCCUGCGAAGUUGGGAGUGGACCAGGGGCCUCGUCUGCUAGUCUGUAUCUGGCUGUGGUGGCUCCUGUCCCAGCACCAGAGCCUGGGGUCCUGGCAGCUAGGAGGGCUGGGGUGUCUGUAGGUUCAGCACCUUGGAGAGGGGACAGUGCUGUGCCCAGAGUCACGGUAUGGGUCACACACGCUUGCUUUCUCAAGUUCUCAAGACUGGGGAGGGGGGAGCUUCUAGGAAUUUGCCAGAGGGUACACUCAUUAAGGGGGGCAGGCAGAACUUGAACCAGGUCUGAAAUCUGAGCCAAGUCAAGGCACCUGAUGUGCCAGCCCAACCAUGCUCCGGCCAGCUGCCUCUGGGGUGACUGCUAA